rnacentral:rRNA from 1 species
UACGUAGGGGGCAAGCGUUGUCCGGAAUCAUUGGGCGUAAAGCGCGUGUAGGCGGUUCGGUAAGUCUGCUGUGAAAGUCCAGGGCUCAACCCUGGGAUGCCGGUGGAUACUGUCGGACUAGAGUACGGAAGAGGCGAGUGGAAUUCCCGGUGUAGCGGUGAAAUGCGCAGAUAUCGGGAGGAACACCAAUUGCGAAGGCAGCUCGCUGGGACGUUACUGACGCUGAGACGCGAAAGCGUGGGGAGCAAACAGGGAUU